UACGUAGGGGGCGAGCGUUGUCCGGAUUUACUGGGCGUAAAGGGCGCGUAGGCGGUCGUGACAAGUCACUUGUGAAAUCUCCGGGCUUAACUCGGAACGGUCAAGUGAUACUGUCGGACUAGAGUACAGAAGGGGCAACUGGAAUUCUCGGUGUAGCGGUGAAAUGCGUAGAUAUCGAGAGGAACACCUGCGGCGAAGGCGGGUUGCUGGGCUGAUACUGACGCUGAUGCGCGAAAGCCAGGGGAGCGAACGGG
rnacentral:rRNA from 1 species